rnacentral:ncRNA from 2 species
UACUUCUAUCUGGGGUGCCUUUACUUUUAAGGCUGAGAUUUACCCAUCGAACCUGUAGGUUAAUACCUGCGUAGGGAGAUAGCGAAAAGAGUCG